rnacentral:rRNA from 1 species
AGAGUUUGAUCCUGGCUCAGGAUGAACGCUGGCGGCGUGCCUAAUACAUGCAAGUCGAACGCUUCACUUCGGUGAAGAGUGGCGAACGGGUGAGUAAUACAUAAGUAACCUGGCAUCUACAGGGGGAUAACUGAUGGAAACGUCAGCUAAGACCGCAUAGGUGUAGAGAUCGCAUGAACUCUAUAUGAAAAGUGCUACGGGACUGGUAGAUGAUGGACUUAUGGCGCAUUAGCUUGUUGGUAGGGUAACGGCCUACCAAGGCGACGAUGCGUAGCCGACCUGAGAGGGUGACCGGCCACACUGGGACUGAGACACGGCCCAGACUCCUACGGGAGGCAGCAGUAGGGAAUUUUCGGCAAUGGGGGAAACCCUGACCGAGCAACGCCGCGUGAAGGAAGAAGUAAUUCGUUAUGUAAACUUCUGUCAUAGAGGAAGAACGGUGGAUAUAGGGAAUGAUAUCCAAGUGACGGUACUCUAUAAGAAAGCCACGGCUAACUACGUGCCAGCAGCCGCGGUAAUACGUAGGUGGCGAGCGUUAUCCGGAAUUAUUGGGCGUAAAGAGGGAGCAGGCGGCACUAAGGGUCUGUGGUGAAAGAUCGAAGCUUAACUUCGGUAAGCCAUGGAAACCGUAGAGCUAGAGUGUGUGAGAGGAUCGUGGAAUUCCAUGUGUAGCGGUGAAAUGCGUAGAUAUAUGGAGGAACACCAGUGGCGAAGGCGACGAUCUGGCGCAUAACUGACGCUCAGUCCCGAAAGCGUGGGGAGCAAAUAGGAUUAGAUACCCUAGUAGUCCACGCCGUAAACGAUGAGUACUAAGUGUUGGGGGUCAAACCUCAGUGCUGCAGUUAACGCAAUAAGUACUCCGCCUGAGUAGUACGUUCGCAAGAAUGAAACUCAAAGGAAUUGACGGGGG